rnacentral:rRNA from 1 species
GGCUCAGAUUGAACGCUGGCGGCAGGCCUAACACAUGCAAGUCGAGCGGGGUUUUCGGACCUAGCGGCGGACGGGUGAGUAAUGCGUAGGAAGCUACCCGAUAGAGGGGGAUACCAGUUGGAAACGACUGUUAAUACCGCAUAAUGUCUACGGACCAAAGUGUGGGACCUUCGGGCCACAUGCUAUCGGAUGCGCCUACGUGGGAUUAGCUAGUUGGUGGGGUAAUGGCUCACCAAGGCGACGAUCCCUAGCUGGUUUGAGAGGAUGAUCAGCCACACUGGAACUGAGACACGGUCCAGACUCCUACGGGAGGCAGCAGUGGGGAAUAUUGGACAAUGGGCGCAAGCCUGAUCCAGCCAUGCCGCGUGUGUGAAGAAGGCCUUCGGGUUGUAAAGCACUUUCAGCGAGGAGGAAGGGUUAGUAGUUAAUAGCUGCUAAUUUUGACGUUACUCGCAGAAGAAGCACCGGCUAACUCUGUGCCAGCAGCCGCGGUAAUACAGAGGGUGCAAGCGUUAAUCGGAAUUACUGGGCGUAAAGCGCACGUAGGCGGUUUUUUAAGUCAGAUGUGAAAGCCCCGGGCUCAACCUGGGAAUUGCAUUUGAAACUGGAAAACUAGAGUGUGUGAG